AUUUAUUUAAUAUAAAAAGUAUAUUUGGCUUCCAACCAAAAAGUCUACUCUAGAAUAAAUA
rnacentral:tRNA from 1 species